GAACACUUAGGAAUUAAAAUAUUUUAAAGCAUACAAGAGAAACUAAUUCGAAUCGCCUCGAAGUAGCAGUUUCUCAAGCAAGUAUCUGGAUUCAGACUUAGAAGAAAUUACUGGAAAACAAAUUGCAUUGCAUUGAAUGAAAAACAAUUACAAAUAAAGAUGGUUCACAAAACAUACAUUUCUCCUUCGAAUUCCGUUCGUUCGAUCGCUGAGUACUUAGAAUUUUUAGAGAGAA
rnacentral:lncRNA from 1 species